CCAGCAGCUGCGGUAAUUCCAGCUCCAAUAGCGUAUAUUAAAGUUGUUGCAGUUAAAAGGCUCGUAGUCGAACUUUUGGUUCUUUCAAACUGUCCCUCUUUCUUUGAUUGAGCGUGACGGUGUCGAGAACCUUCCUGAUGGAGAGCGUUUCUGCCCUUUACUGGGUUGGUUGCGUAAUUCAUCUCUUUUACUGUGAGAAAAACAAAGUGCUCAAAGCAGGCAUUUUUGCUUGAAUGCGUUAGCAUGGAAUAAUAAGAUAGGACUUUGCUUCUAUUUUGUUGGCUCUGAGAAACAAAGUAAUGAUUGAUAGGGAUAGUUGGGGGUGCUCGUAUUUAACGGUCAGCGGUGAAAUGCAUGGACCCGUUAAAGACGAACUUAUGCGAAAGCAUUCACCAAGGAUAUCUUCUUUGAUCAAGAACGAAAGU
rnacentral:rRNA from 1 species